rnacentral:rRNA from 1 species
UACGUAGGGGGCAAGCGUUGUCCGGAAUUAUUGGGCGUAAAGAGCGCGUAGGCGGUCCGGUAAGUCGGUUGUGAAAGUCGGGGGCUCAACCCUCGGAUGCCGAUCGAUACUGUCGGGCUAGAGUCCGGAAGAGGCGAGUGGAAUUCCUGGUGUAGCGGUGAAAUGCGCAGAUAUCAGGAGGAACACCGGUGGCGAAGGCGGCUUGCUGGGCCAGUUCUGACGCUGAGGAGCGAAAGCGUGGGGAGCGAACAGG